GAAUCUUCCACAAUGGACGAAAGUCUGAUGGAGCAAUGCCGCGUGAGUGAAGAAGGUUUUCGGAUCGUAACACUCUGUUGUGAGGGAAGAACAAGUACGCGAGUAACUGCUCGUGCCUUGACGGUACCUCAUUAGAAACCCACGGCUAACUCCCUCCCCGCAGCCGCGGGAAUACGUAGGUGGCAAGCGUUGUCCGGAAUUAUUGGGCGGAAAGCGCGCGCAGGCGGUCCCUUAAGUCUGAGGUGAAAUCCCACGGCUCAACCGUGGAAGGUCAUUGGAAACUGGGGGACUUGGGUACAGAAGAGGAAAGCGGAAUUCCAAGUGUAGCGGUGAAAUGCGUAGAGAUUUGGAGGAACACCAGUGGCGAAGGCGGCUUUCUGGUCUGUAACUGACGCUGAGGCGCGAAAGCGUGGGGAGCAAACA
rnacentral:rRNA from 1 species